rnacentral:tRNA from 1 species
GCGACACUAGCUCAGUUGGUAGAGCGCAACCUUGCCAAGGUUGAGGUCACGAGU